rnacentral:rRNA from 1 species
AUUGAACGCUGGCGGCAGGCCUAACACAUGCAAGUCGAACGGUAACAGGAAGCAGCUUGCUGCUUUGCUGACGAGUGGCGGACGGGUGAGUAAUGUCUGGGAAACUGCCCGAUGGAGGGGGAUAACUACUGGAAACGGUAGCUAAUACCGCAUAACGUCGCAAGACCAAAGAGGGGGACCUUAGGGCCUCUUGCCAUCGGAUGUGCCCAGAUGGGAUUAGCUAGUAGGUGGGGUAACGGCUCACCUAGGCGACGAUACCUAGCUGGUCUGAGAGGAUGACCAGCCACACUGGAACUGAGACACGGUCCAGACUCCUACGGGAGGCAGCAGUGGGGAAUAUUGCACAAUGGGCGCAAGCCUGAUGCAGCCAUGCCGCGUGUAUGAAGAAGGCCUUCGGGUUGUAAAGUACUUUCAGCGGGGAGGAAGGGAGUAAAGUUAAUACCUUGGCUCAUUGACGUUACCCGCAGAAGAAGCACCGGCUAACUCCGUG